CUCUCCUUGUGUGUCGAUCCAAUUUAGGAUUGUGACCGGCGCUUAGGAGCAAAUGCACCCAAGUAAGCCGCGUCGAAAAUUUUAUAGAAAAUCGGACAGAGUUUCCCUUAUUUUUGAACCAUCCCAAAAAUUUUCCGUAUCUCAAAUCAACAACCAAAAAUCCUAAUAUCAUACCAAACAAUUAACAACAUGUCAUUUAACCAACACAAGUCUCCAACAUGACUAAAUCAUCAACUAACAACCAGAAAGACUAAUUAUCUCCAACUUUAAUGCUAAAGAACGAUACUCAACAUAAAUAAUAGCAAAUAAUACUCAUGACACUAAAAGAAUGACUAUGGAGCGACUCUAAGGAUUCAAUGAAAAGACCAUAACAGUAAUUAAAAUCUCUGCCACACGAACAAAUGCAAGGCUCACAGAGAAUUUAUCAACCUGUGCGCUCUAAUUAACGAAAUCCUCGCCUGCGUUAACUGCUGUUUUUGUAAAAAGAUUAGCGGGGAAUGAGUCGCUAGCUCAAUGAGUAAUAACACUUAACCACAACCAUUUUUAAUUUGGGGACAAGUCAGAAAACAUGCUUGCAUAAUAAUCACAAAAUAAAAUGCCCUUUUUAACACGGUAAUAAUAAUCAGUCUCGUCAUGUGUUUCCUGUAACAAAAUCAAUUUAACAAUUCAGUAAUAAACUCGGUAAAUACUGUGUCAUAGCGAAUCUUUAUAUUUUGGGAGAUUUCAGAGAAGGAUCAUGUAACCUGUAUCACUGUUUGGACCCCUUCAUAAAAGGAGUCAAAUAUAACUGUAGGUCCCUACUCGAG
rnacentral:lncRNA from 1 species